CAUGCAAGUCGAGCGGUAAGGCCUUUCGGGGUACACGAGCGGCGAACGGGUGAGUAACACGUGGGUGAUCUGCCCUGCACUUCGGGAUAAGCCUGGGAAACUGGGUCUAAUACCGGAUAUGACCUCCUAUCGCAUGGUGGGUGGUGGAAAGAUUUAUCGGUGCAGGAUGGGCCCGCGGCCUAUCAGCUUGUUGGUGGGGUAAUGGCCUACCAAGGCGACGACGGGUAGCCGACCUGAGAGGGUGACCGGCCACACUGGGACUGAGACACGGCCCAGACUCCUACGGGAGGCAGCAGUGGGGAAUAUUGCACAAUGGGCGAAAGCCUGAUGCAGCGACGCCGCGUGAGGGAUGACGGCCUUCGGGUUGUAAACCUCUUUCAGCAGGGACGAAGCGCAAGUGACGGUACCUGCAGAAGAAGCACCGGCUAACUACGUGCCAGCAGCCGCGGUAAUACGUAGGGUGCAAGCGUUGUCCGGAAUUACUGGGCGUAAAGAGUUCGUAGGCGGUUUGUCGCGUCGUUUGUGAAAACCAGCAGCUCAACUGCUGGCUUGCAGGCGAUACGGGCAGACUUGAGUACUGCAGGGGAGACUGGAAUUCCUGGUGUAGCGGUGAAAUGCGCAGAUAUCAGGAGGAACACCGGUGGCGAAGGCGGGUCUCUGGGCAGUAACUGACGCUGAGGAACGAAAGCGUGGGUAGCGAACAGGAUUAGAUACCCUGGUAG
rnacentral:rRNA from 1 species